CAGUCGCCGCGGGAACACGUAGGGUGCGAGCGUUAAUCGGAAUUACUGGGCGUAAAGCGUGCGCAGGCGGUUCGUUAAGACAGAUGUGAAAUCCCCGGGCUUAACCUGGGAACUGCAUUUGUGACUGGCGAGCUAGAGUAUGGCAGAGGGGGGUAGAAUUCCACGUGUAGCAGUGAAAUGCGUAGAGAUGUGGAGGAAUACCGAUGGCGAAGGCAGCCCCCUGGGCCAAUACUGACGCUCAUGCACGAAAGCGUGGGGAGCAAACAGGAUUAGAUACCCCCGUAGUCCCUGUCUCUUAUAA
rnacentral:rRNA from 1 species